CCUACGGGAGGCAGCAGUGAGGAAUAUUGGUCAAUGGGCGGGAGCCUGAACCAGCCAAGUCGCGUGAGGGAAGACGGUCCUAUGGAUUGUAAACCUCUUUAGGCGGGGAGCAAUGCCGGGCACGCGUGCCCGGAGGGAGAGUACCCGCAGACUAAGCAUCGGCUAACUCCGUGCCAGCAGCCGCGGUAAUAAGGAGGACGCGAGCGGUAUCCGGCUUUAUUUGGUUUAAAGGGAGCGUCGGCGGAUUUUUAAGUCAGCGGUAAAAUGUCCGGGCUCAACCCGGGCCGGCCGUUGAAACUGGGGAUGUUGAGUGGGCGAGAAGUAUGCGGAAUGCGUGGUGUAGCGGUGAAAUGCAUAGAUAUCACGCAGAACUCCGAUUGCGAAGGCAGCAUACCGGCGCCCGACUGACGCUGAGGCACGAAAGCGUGGGGAUCGAACAGGAUUAGAUACCCGGGUAGUC
rnacentral:rRNA from 1 species